ACCCACCCUCAGUGUCUGCUGCUGUGCUCGCCCAGACCCAUACUGAGCAAAGCCACCAUGCUUCCAAUGCCCCACUCUGCCUGCUGUCCAAUCACUACCCAUCAGCCACUAUCCUGGACAAAAGCCUCUACUUCGCUCUUAAGCUACAACUUGUGAUAGAGCCGAUUUGUCCUGGGUGGGUCUUGGUUUCCUCUUCUGCUAAAGGAGCAACAUGCCAAACAAGCUCCAAUAUCCCUUUCAGAUCAGACAUUCUGGGAUUCCAUAAAUGCUGUGAUGGACCUGCAUAAUCCAGGCCUUCGGUCCAUGCUUUUCUCCUGUGUAGGAUGCACUUGCCCACCUAAGGCCCCUGACAAAGGUCAGAUCAUUGCUCAUGGCCAGGCUUGUAUUCCUGAAGCCUUCCUUCAUCACCCUGGAUCACUGCCUGACUCUUUGUGAUCAUAACCCACUGACUUGGUGUCCAGAGCUUUCCUGGCAAUGGACAUGCUGUGAACCCUGAUAGACUGUAAGCAACUUUAGGGCAGGAAUCAUCUUUAUUGGAGAAGCAACAAGGCUGAAAUGGAGUGAAGGAGAGGUGGCUAGUGAACCCAUGCUAACGGCUGGAUCAGGUUCUAAUUCCCUAGGCCUCCUGGCCAAAUUUUCCACCAAAACUUGGGAAGAUCUCCAGAGUCACCUUUGUGGCUUAUACAGCAUCCAGCCAUGGCCUGAAUCAUCUGACAGCUGAAUGACCCAGGAGUGCUAAAGUGAGUGAUUCUGGCCCCACGUGUCCCCAGAGUAUGGUUCAUUAAUGUCGAGAAUUGUUUCCUUUCAUACCCGUGGGACUCACUGACUCUGACUACCAGCCAUGCAAAAGUGUUGACCAAGGUGCCGGAGAGGCUCCUAGAAAGCUCCCUGGUAAAAUUUCAAGGGAGAGAUGGUGCCACUUCUGACUUUUACCUCCUACCAGACAAGCAUAUCUUGGUAAGCCCCUCUCCAGAAUUUGAGUGCUGCUCUGAAGGACCAAGUGUCAACUCACAGAAAGAAAUCAACUUUUUAUCACUAAACCUAGGCAGCAGAGAAAAAACAAACGAAAAGUUUCAUUUGCCAAGAACUUGCCACAACCAUACAAGGAUAUGUGGGUAGAAGAAAGCAAGCCCCCUAGACCCCUUGAGAGAUAAGGUAAUAGAGGUGCCUACUCUACAAACCCCUCAAGCAAAGGGGUCCCUUGAGUAUAGGGACACACUGCCAGAAGCUUCCUGCUGAGUCCUCAUCAGCAGUAAGAACUGAGGCCCAAAGUUUGGCUCAGCAUCUGAGCCUGAGGGCACUUGACGCAUCCUAUAUCCUCCUUUUCUCACCAUCUUCCUCAGAGCUCUGCGAAUUCUCUGAUGGGAGCAGGACUAGAGCUCCCCAACUCCUCCAAAAGCCAAAGGAAGCUAAUUUACCUCAAGUCAAUUCUAGACAUAUUCCCAGAGACCUAGAGAAAAAGAACAUCCAUUAAAAUGACCAAAGUCAAAACUACCAGGAAAACAGCACAGUGGUUGAAAGCAAUACCGGCAACAAUUAAAUCUCUCGUUCUGAAUGUACAGGACUGGUCAGUCUCUCGUUCAUUCAUUCAGCUGUUUAUUGAGCAUUUAUUAUGUACCAAGGUAUGAAAAGUCCUGAAAGUGCAAAGAUGAAUGGGGCCUGGGACAUGACCUUGAAGGGUUUAUGGUCAAGGAUUUAGAGAUGUAAAUUUAAAAAUGAAAGUACAAGGAAUGACUGUGUCCAAGGUUGUAUGAACAAAGUGCUGAAGGACCUUACGGAAGUACCAGAGCACCCCAGGUAUCAGAAAAAUCAGCAUGGAGGGAGUGAUGUUUUGGCUGAAUCUGAAAGGGCAGGACCACACUGCAGAGGGCUGGAAUAGAAUGGGGGAGGGAUUUUAAAGGUGGAAAAACAGUGUGCCUAAGGAUCCUAGGCUGGGAAAUGUAGACUGACCAGAUGGCCCAAUGUAGGUAUUUAAAACCAACACAAGCCUGCCCACCAGACUGCUUCAGUCUCCUCUCAGCUGGCUAAGGCUCCAAGGUAGACAGAUACAGGAUGGACUAUACGGGAUGCCAGGGAAAGGAUGCCCACCCAAAGGGGCAAGAAAUUCCCCAGGCUGAGGCUUCUUUUUUAAAACCUGAUUACUAAAAACUAAGGGAAAGACAAUGGACCCUCUUAUAAAUACUAACCCCCCCAAAUAUUUUGACUAUAUGGACAGCACAGUCUUAGCUAACCAAAACUGUGCAUGUAAUCUGCAUUUAAAAACUCAUUCACGGGAGUUCCCGUCGUGGCACAGUGGUUAACGAAUCCGACUAGGAACCAUGAGGUUGCGGGUUUGAUCCCUGCCCUUGCUUAGUGGGUUAAAGAUCCGGUGUUGCCGUGAGCUGUGGUGUAGGUUGCAGACACGGCUCGGAUCUUGAGUUGCUGUGGCUCUGGCGUAGGCGGGCGGCUACAGCUCCGAUUCAACCCCUAGCCUGGGAACCUCCAUAUGCCGCGGGAGCGGCCCAAGACAUGGCAAAAAGACAAAAAAACAAAAGAAAAAAAACUCAUUCAUGGAGUUCUCACUGUGGCACAGUGGGUUAAGAAUCCGACUGCAUGGCUCGGGUCGCUGUGGAGGAGCGGGUUCUAUCCUUGGCCCGGGAACUUCCAUAUGCUGCAGGAGUGGCCAUGCAAAACAAAAAACCUCCUUCAUGUAAAAUGGUACCAGGCUUCAGAUUCAUUCUCUCAGACAUGAAAAGGGAGCGCUUGGUUCUUCAGCAGCAGCCCACAGGGGAUGGACCAUUUACACUGAGCCAGAGAUGGUCUCCUGGCUGAGGUCAGGGACAAGGUUUACCUCCUCGUGACGGUCAUUGGCUUCCAGGUGGCCUUCACUCUUCUGGGCUCCCGAGGUUGGUCAGGACCUUUGAUAGUUAGGGGAUUCAGGAGAUCCGGGUCCCAGGAAAAAGCAGGCUGGCCCUACUCAAACUCACAUAAAACUGGCUGGUAACAAGAGUCCAUUUCACAACCCGCGGUGUGAAGGCCCUCUGCUGUUAUGCAAGAAUGAAGCUUCAGAGAAAUCAUAAGGCAGGUGGCUGCCUCUGAAGAGAGGACCACCUGGACGAGGACCCCUUCCUCACCAGCCCAUGCCUGCAACGCAGCCCCCAGAGGUCCCCAGAGAGCCUCGCGUGCUCUCGGGAUUGUUGCCCUCUGCUGGGAGACAGCACUGAGAGCAGAAAGAGCUGGGCCACCCAGUUCAGAUAAAUGGGUUUGAAUCCGGGUGCCACCAUCCCUGGCUCUGGGCUUUGGGUAAUUCAUCCUGCCAAGCCUCCGUUUCCUCUUUUGCA
ensembl:lncRNA